UUUUUUAUCUUUAUGGUCAAAAUUUAUGAAUCAGCCAAUUGGUUUGUGUAUUGGUUAUACAUGCUACUGGGUAGAAAUGUUGCAUCUUUUAAAAUGCAAUCUUUCAUGAACAAUUCUGUUGAAGGAAAAUGGAACUAAAAUUAGAUCUCUUAUCAAAAUGUUAUCAAGCCCAAAAGUUUUAAUGAGAGCUAAAGUUUCAAAGAAGCCUUCUAAACAAUCUUUGAACAAUAAGUAGCAUAUGACAAAGUGAACUUCUGAAUAAUUUUUCUGUAGAACAGUGCAAAGCAUUGGUGCUAAAUUUAUGAAUCAACUACUUUGGGUUGACAACUAAGCAUGCCAUUAGAUAGGAAAUGAAUUGCAGCAAAUGAUUUAUGAAAGCUGAAUAGGCCUUCUCUUGAAAGGUUGUGCAAAAAGUGAGAUAAUUAAGCCGUUCAGCAAAAAUAAUGCAACAAUAAGAAGCAGAAAAAGGUGAAAAAAUGAAAAAAGUGCAAAAAGAUAAAUCAAUGCAAAAUAUCGGAUUCAGUGCAAAGAAUCAAAUUCAUUUUAUGCUUUGAGCAGCCCGAGUGAUCACCCCCUAGCCAACAUUUUUGCAACUGAAUGCAGGACCAACCCGAAAAAUCUAAAUACUGUGUGGCUGCAAAUUGAUAGAUCACACGAAUGGCUUCCACAACGAUCCGAUCCUCGAGUUUUUGGUACCCAAGAAUGUGUGGGUACUGGAUAGUCUCAGUCUCCUGCACGUUCGUUAAGAACAACCAACGAACAGAAAAACGAACCUAUGGAUGGUUGGAUGGGUGGUUGAAUGGAUGGAUGGAUACAGUAAAUAGAUAGAUGGAUGGAAAGAGGGAAGGAGGGAACGGAGGCACCGAGGGUUGAUGUGUUUUCGAGAAGUAGACAUGCCCGAUGACGACUACGAUGAUGAUGGUUGUUAACAACAACUAGUUGGUGGGUUGGAUGGGCCCCACGUCUUCAGUCUCCGAUCUCUGAUUCCCAACCACCUACCUCCCCCUGUCACCUGUUCGAUCUCGUCUGAGUGGAUGGAAUGGGGAAUGGAUGCAUCUUUUUCUCAUUUCAAGGUAUGCUCGCUGACGCAAAAGAGACAAGAACACUCGAUGCUCGAUGAUGGCAUGAGCCCUGGGACUUCACUAAUUUGGAUGGGAUCGAGCUCACCUGUCAAACGACAGGUCAGCAUUGAUCCGUGGGAAUUCCUCGGAUGCAUUUUCUUCUCAGCCCUAAGAGAACGCAAUUGAUGAUCGUGACUGAGCUUAUGGCCAGCUUGUUUUAUCUCUGAAGAGCAAGCAGGCCAUUUUUUUCUGCACUACAUAUUUCAGUUCAUGAUGUACGGAGAUUGGGUCUAGAGUUGACUGGGAGGUUGAGACGACUCUAUUUACAAUUUUCGAAUGUUAAUGACACAUGGACGAGAACUAGAAAAAUUGAGAUGAGUAUCAUCAACCUGGUGUCUUGUCUGUUUCUAGUCCAGGUUCGAGACGUCCAUCCUUGGAAGUAGCUUAUCUUAUUAACUUUGUACCCAGCACAAGUUUUGGGAGGGAAUGAGAGAAUCGGGGAUUGAGGAAGAGAGCGAAUUGAAUAAUGAUCCCUCUUUGGCAUUACCGAGUAGGUUCCUCUCCUCGUCUUAAAUUGGAUCAUGCCACAACCAUCCAUCUCCAUCCAUGUCUUUAAUGGAACUUUGACAUUCUGCCUUGCCUUGAGAAAUGGCUAAAUGGUUCUUAAAUACCUUCUCAUUUCAUUUUUUCCAUAAUUAUUGCGAAAUCAUCGACAUGCGGCUGGUUGGCUCCAUCCACAUUGGCAGCCUCUCGAUUGAAGAAGGAAAAAUCUUCAUAUAAGUCACGGUCGUGGAUGAUUGGAGGUCGUGAUUCCCGUCUGCAGAACCAGAAACAUCCGAUGACUCCAGUCAUUAGCGCCCGAGAUGUUGAAUCCAUAAAAUCGGAUAAAAUCAUUGGUCUACUGGUAAUGCAGCCUCAGGCUGAAAUCAGAGAAAGGUCACGCGCGAUUUGUGUGACAAGCCACGUCUUGAAAUUGGCAAGAGAAGUGGGAAAUUGCAUUCGAUUUAUGGCUCCAGCUCUCCGCUAAAAGUUCUGGCUCCAUCAAAGCAAGGGACACGUCAAUACCAACUGCACCUACCUAGAUAUGCCUGUGUGUACGUGUGCACAUACUAGUCUUAGAAUGUGGUUUUGUAAAAAAGCCCUCCAUGUGCCAAGACAAACAUCCUUGGCUGGACAAGCGACGGAGGGCACCACCACCAAAAAAAUGAUGAAGCACCAUUUCGAAUAACAUUUUGGAUUGCCCGUCUCUCCCUCUCCCCAUAUUCGAUGUCGUGGUCUUUAAAAUUUAUCGGAAGCCAUAAAAUAAAUCACAGCUUGAUUAGCAAAUUCCCAGGGCAAAUCAUCACACUCGCUCACAUAAUACACUUCGGCUUUCUCGAGAGUUUUCGCGGACCGACCGAACCAAUGAGCG